CCCAUGUUCUCGAUGCCGUUGGCGUAGUUUUCUAAACCGCCCAGGGAGAGCGCCGCUGUAUCCCCCCGUCCCAAUCCAUUCCUCCUUGCUCGCCCCAAAUCUUGCUCGCCAGCUAUCGGCAUAAAUCAUGUUUUUGCCGCCGGUUGCCGGAGACGGAGAGGGUAUGGGUGGUGUUUGAGAGCGCGCGACGGAGGUGCGCGGGGUUGCUGUGGCGCGCGCGGGGCACUGCAGAGAUGCGCCUGGAGAAGGCCGCGGCGGAGGUGCACGAGGCUGUGUGGGGAGGCGCACGAGGCUGUGACGGAUAGCGCGAGCGGCUGCGGUGGUGCGCGCGCGGCGAGGCUGCGUUUGAGCGUGCGCGCUUCGGAGGUGCGCACGGGGACUACAGAAGACCCGGUGAGCGUGGCGAAGGUCGUCGGCGAUGACUUCGUUUCUGGCGGUGGAGUCGCCGCUGCUUGAGGUAAGGAUCGACAAUGUCUGAAGCAAGCAAAAGUGGUGGUCAGGAUUUACAAGCUAACCAAGAGGGUCCAGAAGAAACAGAGGCACACCCAUCUCAACAACAAAACCCGACUAUAAUUGGCUACAAGUGUAGGCGCACUAAAGAGGUGAUUUGUCAUGGGAAGCGCUCGUUAGACAUAGAUAGCAAUGCAAGUGCACCAGAUGAUCAUUAAGAAGCCAGGGAGGUCACACAAGAGGAGGAAUCAAAGCCAAAAUGACGGAACACAUGCGAAAAUGAGGGCCUCACUAAAUUCUAAAGUCAAAGCAACAUUUUUGAGGUUUUGUGCAUACACCCAAGCAAGAAGGUUCAACAUCCACUUCCUGUAAAAUCAAUACUCGCUGUUCACGGCAUAAGAAACAAGGGGGAAACACUGGAAAAAUAGUUGCAAUCUGGAUGAACAAGGCAUUUGUAAAAGAGAAGCGGCAUUUGUAAAAGAGAAGCAUCUGAGAGGGCACAACAAGAUGGAAGCUCACCUCUCAGGUCCAUGGCCACCAAAACGAGGGCAACAGUUGUGGUAAUGGAGGAGAGGAACAGAUGGAGAAGGGGAGGUCAAGGGGGUGAGGUUUGGGGGCCUGUGACUGGGAAAGGGAAGGACGAUUUGGUGCGUUGGCGUGAGCCUAUAUAGGGCUAAUGUCAGUAGGGACAGUAGUUAAUAUUGUGACAGACUCGCCCCUGGGGGCCAUGUGCGUGAGGGGACCGUUUUUUUUCUUUUUUGGAUUUGCCAGCUGGAUCAGGGGAAAGGUCCACUACUAAUUUUAGGGUGUGUGCUCUGGACCGCUAGCCAGCCAACUGUUGCUGGCUAGUCGCGUCUGGAGUCCCAAAUCCUAAAAAAAUGUAUACGGUCGCCUAAGGUCUCAAGCGGUCAAAACCCUCUAUGAUUCAAUCACAUCGUCGCCACUAUCAUCCAAUCAUCAUUAGCUACCACUCGGAAUCGGCUGACGCUAGCGAUCAUUGUGUCUACUUUGCGUCAAGUCAUGGGUGAACAAUGAUCCUACAAGGGCCGCGCUGAUCUCUGUUGCUGGUUUGCGUCGAGCCCUCGAGCGUGUUUAAUCUUCCAGAAACUCGGCAUAAGAUUCUUUAAGUAUAAAG